UACGUAGGGCGCAAGCGUUGUCCGGAAUUAUUGGGCGUAAAGAGCUCGUAGGCGGUUUGUCGCGUCUGCUGUGAAAACCUAAGGCUCAACCUUGGGCUUGCAGUGGGUACGGGCAGACUAGAGUGCGGUAGGGGUGACUGGAAUUCCUGGUGUAGCGGUGGAAUGCGUAGAGAUCCGGAGGAACACCAAAGGCGAAGGCAGUGUCCUGGGGAGUACCUGACGCUCAGGUGCGAAAGCCAGGGGAGCGAACGGG
rnacentral:rRNA from 1 species